rnacentral:rRNA from 1 species
GGGUACUGCCUGCCCGGUGACAAUUAGUGUUAAACGGCCGCGGUAUUUUUGACUGUGCGAAGGUAGCGUAAUCAUUUGCUCUUUAAUUGGGGGCUUGAAUGAAUGGCAAGACAGAAGCUAUGCUGUCUUUUCUUUAAUUUCUUGAAUUUAAUAUUGUUGUGAAGAAGCAACAAUACGGCCGUAGGACGAGAAGACCCUGUCGAGCUUUACUGAUGGGCUAUUUUGUUUGAUUAAGACUCCAAGAGCUAAUUAUUUUUACUGGAAAGCGGUAAUGUGCGAGUUACUCUUGGAGUCAGCAUUUGGAAAUUGUUUUAUUGUUUGGUUGGGGCAACCGCGGAGAACAGGAAUCCUCCGCUUUUUGUUAAGGAAAAGUUACUACUUUGUUGUGUGAUUAUUUAUUUAUAGUAGGAUCCACGUUUAAGUGAUUAAAGGAAUAAGUUACCGCAGGGAUAACAGCGUCAUUCUUUUGGAGAGUUCAUAUUGAUAAGGGAGUUUGCGACCUCGAUGUUGGAUCGGGAUAUCCUGGGGGUGUAGCAAUUCCCGAGGGUUGGUCUGUUCGACCAUUAAAAUCCU